UUUCCCUACGGGGCGCAGCAGUGGGAAUAUUGGGCAAUGGGCGCAAGCCUGACCCAGCGACGCCGCGUGAGGGAAGACGGUCUUCGGAUUGUAAACCUCUUUCAGCAGGGAAGACAAAAGGACGGUACCUGGGGAGGAAGCUCCGGCUAACUACGUGCCAGCAGCCGCGGUAAUACGCAGGGAGCGAGCGUUGUCCGGAAUUACUGGGUGUAAAGGGAGCGUAGGCGGGACUGCAAGUUGGGUGUCAAAUCUACCGGCUCAACCGGUAGCCGCA
rnacentral:rRNA from 1 species